UACGUAGGGUUCAAGCGUUAAUCGGAAUUACUGGGCGUAAAGCGUGCGCAGGCGGUUAUGUAAGUCAGAUGUGAAAUCCCCGGGCUCAACCUGGGAACUGCAUUUGUGACUGCAUCGCUGGAGUGCGGCAGAGGGGGAUGGAAUUCCGCGUGUAGCAGUGAAAUGCGUAGAUAUGCGGAGGAACACCGAUGGCGAAGGCAAUCCCCUGGGCCUGCACUGACGCUCAUGCACGAAAGCGUGGGGAGCAAACAGG
rnacentral:rRNA from 1 species